GACGAACGCUGGCGGCGUGCUUAACACAUGCAAGUCGAACGGAAAGGCCCUGCUUGCAGGGUACUCGAGUGGCGAACGGGUGAGUAACACGUGGGUGAUCUGCCCUGCACUUCGGGAUAAGCCUGGGAAACUGGGUCUAAUACCGGAUAGGAGCCAUUUUUAGUGUGAUGGUUGGAAAGUUUUUUCGGUGUAGGAUGAGCUCGCGGCCUAUCAGCUUGUUGGUGGGGUAAUGGCCUACCAAGGCGGCGACGGGUAGCCGGCCUGAGAGGGUGGACGGCCACAUUGGGACUGAGAGACGGCCCAGACUCCUACGGGAGGCAGCAGGGGGGAAUAUUGCACAAUGGGCGCAAGCCUGAUGCAGCGACGCCGCGUGGGGGAUGACGGCCUUCGGGUUGUAAACUCCGUUCGCUAGGGACGAAGCUUUUUGUGACGGUACCUAGAUAAGAAGCACCGGCUAACUACGUG
rnacentral:rRNA from 1 species